rnacentral:rRNA from 1 species
AGUGAACGCUGGCGGUAGGCCUAACACAUGCAAGUCGAACGGCAGCACAGUAAUAGCUUGCUCUUACGGGUGGCGAGUGGCGGACGGGUGAGGAAUACAUCGGAAUCUACUUUUUCGUGGGGGAUAACGUAGGGAAACUUACGCUAAUACCGCAUACGACCUACGGGUGAAAGCAGGGGAUCUUCGGCCCUUGCGCGAUUGAAUGAGCCGAUGUCGGAUUAGCUAGUUGGCGGGGUACAGGCCCACCAAGGCGACGAUCCGUAGCCGGUCUGAGAGGAGGAUCAGCCACACUGAAACUGAGACACGGUCCAGACUCCUACGGGAGGCAGCAGUGGGGAAGAUUGGACAAUGGGCGCAAGCCUGAUCCAGCCAUACCGGGUGGGUGAAGAAGGCCUUCGGGUUGUAAAGCCCUUUUGUUGGGAAAGAAAAGCAGCAGGUUAAGACCCGGCUGUUCUGACGGUACAAAAAGAAGAAGCACCGGCUAACUUCGU